GACGUAGGUGGCGAACGUUAUCCGGAAUUAUUGGGCGUAAAGGGUGCGUAGGCGGCAUAAUAAGUUAUUGGCGGGAAAUCGAGGCUCAACCUCGUGGAAACUGAUAAUACUGUUUUGCUUGAGUACAGGAGAGGUUAACGGAACUCCAUGUGGAGCGGUAAAAAUGUGUAGAUAUAUGGAAGAACAUCAAUAACGGCGAAGGCAGUUAACUAUUCUGUUACUGACGUUGAGGCACGAAAGCGUGGGGAGCAAAAAGG
rnacentral:rRNA from 1 species